rnacentral:lncRNA from 1 species
AUUUUCUCCUCUCUCUUAAUUUCUCCAUUCAUUCAUUGUUACAAUUUUGUACUAACACUUUAGUACAAAUAUUGUUACAUUUAUAUUAAAGAGUACAAUAUAGGUAUAAAUAGUGUAAUAUGGAGAGCUAGGCUACUAUACUAUCUAUAGUAUCGAGUUCCGGUACUAUAGUGUUGGUUUUCGAUCUUAGGGCGUUCAAAUCAACGAUCCACACCGUUAAAACUGAUCUAGGGUAUUUAAAGUUUUUAGAAAUAAAAUUUUAUAUUUUUUCGACAUAGUUUACUUUAUGAUC